UUCCGGUUGAUCCUGCCGGAGGUUACUGCUAUCGGGGUUCGAUUAAGCCAUGCAAGUUAAAUGUUUUUCGUAAACAUAGCGAACUGCUCAGUAACACGUGGAUAACUUAACCUUAGGUUCGGCAUAACCCCGGGAAACUGGGGAUAAUUCCGGAUAUAUCAAGGAUGCUGGAAUGCUCUUUGGUUCAAAGCUUUUGUGCCUAAGGAUAGGUCUGCGGUCUAUCAGGUUGUAGUGGGUGUAACGUACCUACUAGCCGACGACGGAUACGGGUUGUGAGAGCAAGAGCCCGGAGAUGGAUUCUGAGACAAGAAUCCAGGCCCUACGGGGUGCAGCAGGCGCGAACACUUUACAAUGCGGGAAACCGCGAUAAGGGAACCCCGAGUGCCAGUACUAAGUGCUGGCUGUCUAGAUGAAUAGAUAUCAUUUAAUAGCAAGGGCCGGGCAAGACCGGUGCCAGCCGCCGCGGUAACACCGGCGGCCCGAGUGGUAACCGAUAUUAUUGGGUCUAAAGGGUCCGUAGCCUGUUUAAUAAGUCCUUUGGGAAAUCUGGCAGCUUAACUGUCAGGCUGCUAAAGGAUACUGUUAAACUUGGGACCGGUAGACGUAGGGGGUACUCCAGGGGUAGGAGUGAAAUCUUGUAAUCCCUGGGGGACCAUCUGUGGCGAAGGCGCCCUACGAGAACGGGUCCGACGGUGAGGGACGAAAGCUAGGGGAGCAAACCGGAUUAGAUACCCGGGUAGUCCUAGCUGUAAACGAUGCUCGCUAGGUGUCAGGCACGGUGCGUCCGUGUCUGGUGCCGCAGGGAAGCCGUUAAGCGAGCCACCUGGGGAGUACGGUCGCAAGGCUGAAACUUAAAGGAAUUGGCCGGGGGAGCACUACAACGGGUGGAGCCUGCGCGUUUAAAUUGGAUUCAACGCCGGA
rnacentral:rRNA from 1 species